rnacentral:rRNA from 1 species
ACGAACGCUGGCGGCGUGCUUAACACAUGCAAGUCGAACGGAAAGGCCCUGCUUUUGUGGGGUGCUCGAGUGGCGAACGGGUGAGUAACACGUGAGUAACCUGCCCUUGACUUUGGGAUAACUUCAGGAAACUGGGGCUAAUACCGGAUAGGAGCUCCUGCUGCCUGGUGGGGGUUGGAAAGUUUCGGCGGUUGGGGAUGGACUCGCGGCUUAUCAGCUUGUUGGUGGGGUAGUGGCUUACCAAGGCUUUGACGGGUAGCCGGCCUGAGAGGGUGACCGGCAACAUUGGGACUGAGAGACGGCCCAGACUCCUAAGGGAGGCAGCAGUGGGGAAUAUUGCACAAUGGGCGGAAGCCUGAUGCAGCAACGCCGCGUGCGGGAUGACGGCCUUCGGGUUGUAAACCGCUUUCGCCUGUGACGAAGCGUGAGUGACGGUAAUGGGUAAAGAAGCACCGGCUAACUACGUG